rnacentral:rRNA from 1 species
GACGAACGCUGGCGGCGUGCCUAAUACAUGCAAGUCGAGCGAAGUUUUUCUGGUGCUUGCACUAGAAAAACUUAGCGGCGAACGGGUGAGUAACACGUAAAGAACCUGCCUCAUAGACUGGGACAACUAUUGGAAAAGAUAGCUAAUACCGGAUAACAGCAUUAACUGCAUGGUUGAUGUUUAAAAGUUGGUUUUGCUAACACUAUGAGAUGGCUUUGCGGUGCAUUAGCUAGUUGGUGGGGUAAAGGCCUACCAAGGCGACGAUGCAUAGCCGACCUGAGAGGGUGAUCGGCCACACUGGGACUGAGACACGGCCCAGACUCCUACGGGAGGCAGCAGUAGGGAAUCUUCCGCAAUGGGCGAAAGCCUGACGGAGCAACGCCGCGUGAGUGAAGAAGGAUUUCGGUUCGUAAAGCUCUGUUGUUAGGGAAGAAUGAUUGUGUAGUAACUAUACACAGUAGAGACGGUACCUAACCAGAAAGCCACGGCUAACUACGUG